GAUGAACGCUGGCGGCGUGCUUAACACAUGCAAGUCGAACGAAGCACUUUACUUGAUCUCUUCGGAGUGAUUGUUCUGUGACUGAGUGGCGGACGGGUGAGUAACGCGUGGGUAACCUGCCUUGUACAGGGGGAUAACAGUUGGAAACGACUGCUAAUACCGCAUAAGCGCACAGGACCGCAUGGUCCGGUGUGAAAAACUCCGGUGGUAUAAGAUGGACCCACGUCUGAUUAGCUAGUUGGUGGGGUAACGGCCUACCAAGGCGACGAUCAGUAGCCGACCUGAGAGGGUGACCGGCCACAUUGGGACUGAGACACGGCCCAAAACUCCUACGGGAGGCAGCAGUGGGGAAUAUUGCACAAUGGGCGAAGCCUGAUGCAGCGACGCCGCGUGAGCGAAGAAGUAUUUCGGUAUGUAAAGCUCUAUCAGCAGGGAAGAAGAAUGACGGUACCUGACUAAGAAGCCCCGGCUAACUACGUG
rnacentral:rRNA from 1 species